rnacentral:rRNA from 1 species
GACGAACGCUGGCGGCGUGCUUAACACAUGCAAGUCGAACGAAGAGCGAUGGAAGCUUGCUUCUAUCAAUCUUAGUGGCGAACGGGUGAGUAACGCGUAAUCAACCUGCCCUUCAGAGGGGGACAACAGUUGGAAACGACUGCUAAUACCGCAUACGAUCCAAUCUCGGCAUCGGGACUGGAUGAAAGGUGGCCUCUAUUUAUAAGCUAUCACUGAAGGAGGGGAUUGCGUCUGAUUAGCUAGUUGGAGGGGUAACGGCCCACCAAGGCGAUGAUCAGUAGCCGGUCUGAGAGGAUGAACGGCCACAUUGGGACUGAGACACGGCCCAGACUCCUACGGGAGGCAGCAGUGGGGAAUCCUCCGCAAUGGACGAAAGUCUGACGGAGCAACGCCGCGUGAGUGAUGACGGCCUUCGGGUUGUAAAGCUCUGUUAAUCGGGACGAAUGGUUCUUGUGCGAAUAGUGCGAGGAUUUGACGGUACCGGAAUAGAAAGCCACGGCUAACUACGUG